rnacentral:lncRNA from 1 species
CAGGAACCACUAAGCAGUCAAAAUAAAUGAGGACAAUAACCAAGGAAGUAAAAAAUUUAAAUUAAAGCACACAAGACAAAUGAACAUUUUACUCUACUUGUUGAAUAUUUAUUAUAAAAAAGUGAAAACCCAAAAAGAAACCAAAGACAAAGUAUUCAUCACAAAUUCUACUGUGAGCCUAGAAGGUGACUGGCAUUUCCCUGGGUUGGUUCUGUUGGAAGGAAUUAGCACUGCACUGCCAUCUGGCCCCAAGCAGAAAGCACCUCUUCGUGCCUUUCCUAAUGAUCUCGGGACACUACUUAUAGUACAUUGUUUGAGGCACAUCUGCAUAAGCACUUCCCUGAGUCUGGAGGAGGCUGCUCUUCCUUGGAAACAUUCCCAAGGACCUCUAAGGUAAGUAGUGUGUGCAGUUGUGGCUCACUUACAAAUAUUAUCUAAUUUCUAAUACAAAUUUG